rnacentral:rRNA from 1 species
GUGAGGAAUAUUGGUCAAUGGGCGCAAGCCUGAACCAGCCAUCCCGCGUGCAGGAAGACGGCCCUAUGGGUUGUAAACUGCUUUUCCAGGGAGAGAAACUCUCGUACGUGUACGGGAUUGACGGUACCCUGGGAAUAAGCAUCGGCUAACUCCGUGCCAGCAGCCGCGGUAAUACGGAGGAUGCAAGCGUUAUCCGGAUUCAUUGGGUUUAAAGGGUGCGUAGGCGGACUAUUAAGUCAGUGGUGAAAUCCUGCAGCUUAACUGCAGAACUGCCAUUGAUACUGAUAGACUUGAGUUUGGUUAAGGUAGGCGGAAUGUGUAAUGUAGCGGUGAAAUGCUUAGAUAUUACACAGAACACCAAUUGCGUAGGCAGCUUACUGAGCCGAUACUGACGCUGAGGCACGAAAGCGUGGGGAUCGAACAGGAUUAGAUACCCUAGUAGUCC